rnacentral:misc_RNA from 1 species
GAAACGCGAUAGUUAAUGUGAAUUGCAGAAUUCAGUGAAUCAUCGAGUCUUUGAACGCACAUUGCGCCCAUAGGUAUUCCUUUGGGCAUGUCUGUUUGAGCGUCAUUACAACCCUCAGCUAACCGCUGGUUUUGAACCUGAACGGGUGACACCGCGCCGGUUUUAAAGUUGUAAGCUCUGUUGGCCGCUCUGCCCAACCAGAACAUAGUAAGCACUACUUGUCCGGGUGAAGCUGAACGGUACGGCCUGAACAAAACCUACCCACUCUCAAGGUUUGACCUCAGAUCAGACAAGGAUACCCGCUGAACUUAAGC